rnacentral:rRNA from 1 species
UCACUGGGCGUAAAGAGUGCGCAGGCGGGGUAGUCAAGUCAGAUGUGAAAUCCUAUAGCUUAACUAUAGAACUGCAUUUGAAACUGAUUAUCUAGAGUGUGGGAGAGGUAGGUGGAAUUCUUGGUGUAGGGGUAAAAUCCGUAGAGAUCAAGAGGAAUACUCAUUGCGAAGGCGACUGCUAGAACAUAACUGACGCUGAUGCGCGAAAGCGUGGGGAGCAAACAGGAUUAGAUACCCUGGUAGUCCAUGCCCUAAACGAUGAAUGCUAGUUGCUGUGGAGCUUGUCUCUGCAGUAAUGCAGCUAACGCAUUAAGCAUUCCGCCUGGGGAGUACGGUCGCAAGAUUAAAACUCAAAGGAAUAGACGGGGACCCGCACAAGCGGUGGAGCAUGUGGUUUAAUUCGAAGAUACGCGAAGAACCUUACCUAGGCUUGACAUUGAUAGAAUCCUAUAGAGAUAUGGGAGUGCCCUUUUAGGGAGCUUGAAAACAGGUGCUGCACGGCUGUCGUCAGCUCGUGUCGUGAGAUGUUGGGUUAAGUCCCGCAACGAGCGCAACCCUCGUCCUUAGUUGCUAACUAUUUGGUAGAGCACUCUAAGGAGACUGCCUCCGUAAGGAGGAGGAAGGUGAGGAUGACGUCAAGUCAUCAUGGCCCUUACGCCUAGGGCUACACACGUGCUACAAUGGGAAGUACAAAAAGAUGCAAUAUUGUGAAAUGGAGCAAAUCUCAAAAACUUCUCUCAGUUCGGAUUGUAGUCUGCAACUCGACUACAUAAAGCUGGAAUCGCUAGUAAUCGCAAAUCAGCAAUGUUGCGGUGAAUACGUUCCCGGGUCUUGUACUCACCGCCCGUCACACCAUGGGAGUUGUAUUCGCCUUAAGUCGGAAUGCCAAACUGGCUACCGCCCACGGCGGAUGCAGCGACUGGGGUGAAGUCGUAACAAGGUAGCCGUAGGUGAACCUGCG